AGAGCCGGCCCGCCGAAUCUCCGAGCCCGGAGAACCGGGGACCCACCUCCCUGAAGUCCCCCGGGGUGAAUCCGAGACGCCGUCAGCGCUCUCGGUAGGGCUGCCUCCGGCCCGAACCCGUCAGCUAACCCGGUAGGCGGUGCGAGGAAGAGGA
rnacentral:sRNA from 1 species